GGCUGAUCCGAUGGUAGUGGAUUAUCAGAACUUAUUAACAUUAGUGUCACUAAAGUUGGUAUACAACCCCCCACUGCUAAAUUUAACUGGUUUUAA
rnacentral:Y_RNA from 1 species